GCCUGUAUGGCUCAAGGAGUCAGGGUAGAGCGUGUCACCAGUGGUAAUCUCCGGGUCGAUGACAAGGUCGUCAGUUCGAUUCUGGCUGUGAGUA